rnacentral:rRNA from 1 species
UAGUCAUAUGCUUGUCUCAAAGAUUAAGCCAUGCAUGUCUAAGCACAAGCCGAUUAAUGGCGAAGCCGCGAAUGGCUCAUUACAACAGCCAUAGUUUCUUAGAUCUUACUUUUCUACUUGGAUAACUGUGGUAAUUCUAGAGCUAAUACACGCAAACAAGCUCAGACCUUACGGAAUGAGCGCAUUUAUUAGAACAAAAACCAAUCGGGCUUCGGUCCGUCAUUUGGUGAAUCUGAAUAACUUUGCUGAUCGCACGGUCUUCGUACCGGCGACAUAUCUUUCAAAUGUCUGCCUUAUCAACUUUCGAUGGUAGUUAUGCGCCUACCAUGGUUGUAACGGGUAACGGAGAAUAGGGGUUCGACUCCGGAGAGGGAGCCUGAGAAACGGCUACCACAUCCAAGGAAGGCAGCAGGCACGCAAAUUACCCACUCCCGGCACGGGGAGGUAGUGACGAAAAAUAACGAGACGGCUCGCUAUGCGGUCCGUCAUCGGAAUGGGUACAAUUUAAAUCCUUUAACGAGGAUCUAUU